rnacentral:rRNA from 1 species
CCCUUAGAUGUUCUGGGCCGCACGCGCGCUACACUGAUGCAUUCAACGAGUCUAAAACCUGGUCUGAUAGGGCUGGGUAAUCUUUUGAAUGUGCAUCGUGAUUGGGAUAGAUGAUUGCAAUUCUUCAUCUUCAACGAGGAAUGCCUAGUAAACGCAAGUCAUCAGCUUGCAUUGAUUACGUCCCUGCCCUUUGUACACACCGCCCGUCGCUCCUACCGAUUGAAUGUUCCGAUGAAUACCAUGGACUGAGAGUAUGAAUGGGUUCGCCUAUUUCUGCUUCUCGGGAAGUGGGGUAAAUCUUAACAUUUAGAGGAAGGAGAAGUCGUAACA